rnacentral:rRNA from 1 species
CAGCCGCCACGGUAAUACGAAGGGUGCAAGCGUUACUCGGAAUUACUGGGCGUAAAGCGUGCGUAGGUGGUGGUUUAAGUCCGUUGUGAAAGCCCUGGGCUCAACCUGGGAAUUGCAGUGGAUACUGGGUCACUAGAGUGUGGUAGAGGAUAGUGGAAUUUCCGGUGUAGCAGUGAAAUGCGUAGAGAUCGGAAGGAACAUCUGUGGCGAAGGCGACUAUCUGGGCCAACACCGACACUGAGGCACGAAAGCGUGGGGAGCAAACAGGAUUAGAUACCCCAGUAGUCCCUGUCUCUUAUAC